AAAAGUUUUGCGUUGGAAACGGACAAAAUAAGCAGCGUCGUCGAUAAAUGCGUUAGUGAUACACUUUCAAUAACAAAACAAGUUGAUGUUUGCGUACAGGCAACUAAAUCACUCCACAGCGGCUCAGGUCGUGACUGUUUUCAUGUCCAUGCCGAGGAAAUGAGAGGAGGAAAGGAAAACAGAGGGAUAGUUUCCUACCGUCGGCUAUGACCUGGAGUCCAUCUUCCUAACGUCUCGAGUUUCAGCCGCGGAAACUUUCACAUGCCAACUUUCUGCUGCUUUCCCUCAGAGCAUCACCGGGUAUGAAGACAUAAAUCCGUCGGGUGUUAACUGUGCAGUGAAGUCGGCUUUGAACUUUCGUCGAUGGCUGGAGAAGAAGAGGAGCAGGAGGGGGUUUCUUUAGAAAGGGCGGAGCUCAGCGGAGGACGGAGCCGGAGAGGAGGCGUGACCCUCGGCGCUGGAGAGAGGGGACCACCGGGCAACGACCCGGGCUGACCCAUCGAUCAGACUGGGAGGAGUUCAGCUGAACAGACUCGCUCCUCUCCCCAUCCUGAUGCUGAAAAACACAGAUAUUAGAGAUAUUAUUUAACAAAUCUAUUACUACACUACAAAACUUGCAUGUUUAAAGGUGCCGCUAAAGAAGUGUUGCCAGGUUGGGUGGUUUUCCACCCAAUGGGGGUACGUUGGUCUGUGAGUCCACCACUUUGGUCCAGACUGAAAUAUUGCAACAACUAUUGAAUGGAUUGGCGUGAAAUAUCAUAGACAUUUAUGGUGCCCAGGGGAUAAAUCCUAAUGACUUUGGUGAUCUCCUGACUUUUCGUGUAGCGCCAAAAUGCGGUUCACAUUUCUGGUGUAAAGUGAAAUGUCUCAAUUACCGCUGGAUGGAUUGCCAUGAAAGUUUGUUCACACAUUCAAGUCCCCUUCAGGUUAAUUUGUAAAAACUGUGAUGAUCCUCUGACUUUAAGCCACACCUCCCAACCAAAUGGAUGAAAUUUGAAAAAAUGUGUUUUAUGUUUCCAAUAAACUUGUUUCAUGCAUUUUCUA